rnacentral:lncRNA from 1 species
GUGUUGGAAGAUGAGAAGAGGAGGAGAAGAAGAAAAGAUUAAAAAAGAAAAGGACUCCCUUGGACUGUGACCUCACUGUGACCCAAGAGGAGGUGGCCACUCAACGCUGAGGCCACACGGCUCCCUUCCUUAUGUAGGAAAGUCAAGCCAAUGGUCCCUGAAUGUUGCCAAGGAGACACACUGCACCACCAAGCCAAGCCAAGCAAGCCACAAUGCAACACAAGCCUUCUACAACACCUACAGCCAUCAGCAACACCCAGAGUACAAGACAACACCUGGAGUCAUGAAGAACAGUUAGGAUGGAUUAGCAGUUUGGAAUGUUUUUCUUUUAAGGACAUUUGAAGACAAGUUUG